UACGUAGGGUGCGAGCGUUAAUCGGAAUUACUGGGCGUAAAGCGUGCGUAGGCGGUCCGCAAAGUCUGAUGUGAAAGCCCCGGGCUCAACCUGGGAACUGCAUUGGAAACUAACGGGCUCGAGUGUGGCAGAGGGGGGUGGAAUUCCACGUGUAGCAGUGAAAUGCGUAGAGAUGUGGAGGAACACCGAUGGCGAAGGCAGCCCCCUGGGCUAACACUGACGCUCAGGCACGAAAGCGUGGGGAG
rnacentral:rRNA from 1 species